UACGAAGGGUGCAAGCGUUAUCCGGAUUCACUGGGUUUAAAGGGUGCGUAGGCGGAUAGGUAAGUCCGUGGUGAAAUCCUGCAGCUUAACUGCAGAACUGCCGUGGAUACUAUCUAUCUUGAAUGUCGUGGAGGUUAGCGGAAUAUGUCAUGUAGCGGUGAAAUGCUUAGAUAUGACAUAGAACACCCAUUGCGAAGGCAGCUAACUACGCGAUAAUUGACGCUGAUGCACGAAAGCGUGGGGAUCAAACAGG
rnacentral:rRNA from 1 species